GCAAAGUGACCACCUAACAGUGUAGGUGAUGACUGAAGGUGUCGCAAAGCUUUAAUCACGAAUAAUUUAAUUGUUUGAUUGUAGUGAGAAUUUGGCAAAUGAGUCCGUUAACGAAAAAGUUUGCUUUUUACCUCUCGAAUGCUGUGUUACCCACGGAUGUCCCGUUACCCUCUAAUGUGUUGUCUUCUAGAGCCAAUCUCUUACAGCUGGUCACGACCGACGGGCGACGGAAUGGACCGAUCGGCGCGAAUGCAGGUUCAUUGCAAAACGCAUCUUUGCCAAAAGAACUGACAUCCGGGAAGAAAUUGGCUUUGGCGAUGAAAUGCAUGCGUUGGGGAAAGAAAUACAUGAUACUACUACCAGUCCCCUAUCAAAUGAAAUAUUGCUGCAGUUUGGACUUUUGGUCAAGACAGAAUUUGAAAAAACUCUUUAUCAAGAGCUAUCUACUAUCUGAGGCAGUUACCAACAAACAGUGCACAGUGCAGGAAGAAUUCAUCACGUGAACGCUAUUUCGUGUGCCCUGACACCCAGGAUGCUUGUAAUCUAAAAUUGAGUGAAGAUGGUGGACGAGAGUAGCAACGCAGAAGCUGCUCACCUCUGGAAGACGUUGAGCGAAGAUGAAGUGGAAGUGAAAUGCAGUCAGUUUCAUUUCCUCCGCUGCCAAAUCAAUCUCUCUGCUCAGAGCCUGAUUGAAGUGAUUGACGAAUUUGAUGAAUUUUGAUGCUUUAAGACUUGGAGACCAUAUUUUCCACCACUUCGAGAAGCUGAGUAACAUUCUACUUGUACAAUGUUAAGAAUGGCACCUUUUAAUAAAAGGAACUUCAGCCAUCCAAUCUAGGACUUCCAUCCAAUCGUGCAGGCUGCAUGGAAGUCGCAUUUACCUUUGCUGUGAACAUCAUGAACACAUACACUAUUUGAAGGUUCAUGUUAACAUAGCAGUGGUGUUGCUGUCCAAUGUGGCGUGUUGUUGCAGCCUAUGGUGGUGAAAGAUAUCUGCAUCAAGUUGCUGUUCCUGUCCAAUGUGGUGUGUUGUUGCAGCCUAUGGCGGUGAAAGAUAUCUGCAUCCAGCAUUGUGUUUAAUUGCUAUUUGUGUCUAUGCAGUUUACCUUUUAUAUAUUGAGAAGGAACAAAAAAAAAGUAAUACGGGGAGGUUCAUGUCAAACAAAUAAAAACAUGUCCGCGAUUGGGGAAUGAGGAGGGAGUUGGGUUGGGAUAUUUGAUUAUCAUUUACUAAAAGAAGUGAGGUGUGUUUUUAAUGAAUACGCAAUACUUAGUGAUAAAAUCUGUUGUUAACCUAUAUAACCUUCCUCACUUACACAUCCAUUCCUCAAACCCCAUAAACACCAACAUCAAAUCCCACAUCCACUUACAUCCAUUCCUCAAACCCCACAAUCUCCAACAUCAAACCACACAAUUGUUGUAUAUCUAUAACCAUCUAUAUAUAAAUAAAUUAAAUGUCAUUGUAUAUAAA